rnacentral:rRNA from 1 species
UACGUAGGGCGCAAGCGUUAUCCGGAAUUAUUGGGCGUAAAGAGCUCGUAGGCGGUUUGUCGCGUCUGCCGUGAAAGUCCGGGGCUCAACUCCGGAUCUGCGGUGGGUACGGGCAGACUAGAGUGAUGUAGGGGAGACUGGAAUUCUCGGUGUAGCGGUGAAAUGCGUAGAUAUCUGGAGGAACACCGGUGGCGAAGGCGGCAUCCUGGACCGACAUUGACGCUGAGGCGCGAAAGCCAGGGGAGCAAACGGGG